rnacentral:rRNA from 1 species
AACGAACGCUGGCGGCAUGCCUAACACAUGCAAGUCGAACGAGACCUUCGGGCCUAGUGGCGCACGGGUGCGUAACGCGUGGGAACCUGCCCUUAGGUUCGGAAUAACUCACCGAAAGGGGUGCUAAUACAGGAUAAUGUCUUCGGACCAAAGAUUUAUUGCCUUUGGAUGGGCCCGCGUUGGAUUAGCGAGUUGGUAGGGUAAAAGCCUACCAAGGCGACGAUCCAUAGCUGGUCUGAGAGGAUGAUCAGCCACACUGGGACUGAGACACGGCCCAGACUCCUACGGGAGGCAGCAGUGGGGAAUAUUGGACGAUGGGCGAAGGCCUGAUCCAGCAGUGCCGCGUGAGUGAUGAAGGCCUUAGGGUUGUAAAGCUCUUUUACCCGGGAUGAUAAUGACAGUACCGGGAGAAUAAGCUCCGGCUAACUCCGUG